rnacentral:misc_RNA from 1 species
CUUUGUUUUCUUCUUCAUUAAGAAUCUGUCCCUGUAGAUCUAUGCAAUAUAUAUAAGGAUCAAACUGUUAGAUUACCGUUGAAACGGAAAAAAUGCCUACUCGCUGUGAGAUCUGCUGCGAAAUCCUUAUUGCAAUCUUGCUUCCUCCUUUGGGCGUUUGCUUCAGGCAUGGCUGUUGCAGCGUUGAGUUUUGUAUUUGUUUGUUGCUGACUAUCCUAGGUUAUGUCCCUGGAAUAAUCUAUGCUCUGUACGCCAUCGUUUUCGUUGAUCGUGAUGAAUACUUCGAUGAGUCUAGGCGUCCUCUCUAUUCAUCAUACUAGUAAAUCAGUACCUUCUUGUUCUUAAUCUUUAAGCUGUAACGUCUGAAUUUAUAUCUGGUGUUUAAACUCUUCUUAAUAAGAUCAAAUUUUAUGCUUCAUUUGCUUGACAAUUUGGG